rnacentral:RNase_P_RNA from 1 species
GAUGUUGAAUACAAAACAACUUGGGUAGCGGAGGGGAGGAAAGUCCGGGCUCCACAGGGCAGGGUGCCAGAUAACGUCUGGGCGGCGCGAGCCGACGACAAGUGCAGCAGAGAGUAGACCGCCUAAGCGGAGCAAUCCGCCGGUAAGGCUGAAAGGGUGCGGUAAGAGCGCACCGCGCAACUGGUAACAGUUUGUGGCGAGGUAAACUCCACCCGGAGCAAGACCAAAUAGGCUUUCAAUACGCACGGCCCGUGCGGAAAGCGGGUAGGUUGCUUGAACCAGUCAGCAAUGGCUGGUCUAGAGGAAUGGUUGCCCACGACAGAACCCGGCUUAUCGGCCAACUCCACUA